rnacentral:rRNA from 1 species
GAUGAACGCUGGCGGCGUGCCUAAUACAUGCAAGUCGAGCGAACGGACGAGAAGCUUGCUUCUCUGAUGUUAGCGGCGGACGGGUGAGUAACACGUGGAUAACCUACCUAUAAGACUGGGAUAACUUCGGGAAACCGGAGCUAAUACCGGAUAAUAUUUUGAACCGCAUGGUUCAAAAGUGAAAGACGGUCUUGCCGUCACUUAUAGAUGGAUCCGCGCUGCAUUAGCUAGUUGGUAAGGUAACGGCUUACCAAGGCAACGAUGCAUAGCCGACCUGAGAGGGUGAUCGGCCACACUGGAACUGAGACACGGUCCAGACUCCUACGGUAGGCAGCAGUAGGGAAUCUUCCGCAAAGGGCGAAAGCCUGACGGAGCAACGCCGCGUGAGUGAUGAAGGUCUUCGGAUCGUAAAACUCUGUUAUUAGGGAAGAACAUAUGUGUAAGUAACUGUGCACAUCUUGACGGUACCUAAUCAGAAAGCCACGGCUAACUACGUG